CUAAAAUAGUGUUAUGUUGGCACUUGGCAGUGCGUAUUAUGUUGCUUCAGAAGUGUUGAAGCAGAAAUACGGGACAAUCGUUGCAUCAUCCAUCUACUUUAAAACACCCUGGUGGCUUCUCACAAUUGUGAAAUACAUCUGUGACUCGAGUAAUUUUCCUGAAGAAGGAAGCCCAUGGACGUGCCCUGGUGACGAUGCUUUGUACAACGCUUCAAUCAUAUCGAGGGAACUGAACGAUAAUCAGCUCACUGGUCAUAUUUCACCUGAACUCGGAAAGCUUACCGACUUGUUUGACCUUAAUGUUGCGGGAAAUAAACUUGAGGGACACAUACAUGAUAAUUUUAGCUCAUGCACUAAUCUCCAUAGCCUUUAAAGGGUACGAUCCCUGCUCAACUUCAGAGGCUAGAUAGCAUGACAUACUUGAAACUUUCGUCAUACAAUAUUGCGGGUCCUAUUCCGAUUGAGUUGUCUCAGAUUGGUAACUUGGAUACAUUGGACCUUUCAAACAACAAAAAUAGCGGCCUGAUCCCUUCGUCGCUUGUCAUCGCUUGCACUUUCAUAUUAAGUCAUAGUAAAUACUGUUACAGUUAGUACUCUGUUGAGCUUUUGAUUAUAUGAUAUUGAGGGACCAGUAAGAAAAUAUUAUGU